CUGGCGCUAUAAAAGUGAGAUCCGUGGAGGGUUUAGCUAUCAAAAGUGAUUACGAGCUUUAUCAACAAGUCGUGAGUAAAGUCAGCUAAAAAGCUUGUACAAAAAUGCAUUUCUUCAAUUUUAUUACUAUCGUGCUUCUGAUUUCAACUGUUCUGGUUGGAAUCGCUCUUGGAAGAACGCCUAAUCCUGCAAAAAAAGCACAACUAGAUGCCCUGAAACAAGCCAUUUUCGAGAAGAAAAUACAGGAGAUAGCGACGGCCUAUAGUGUUACUCUACCAACAACAACAACAGAAGCAACAACAACAACAACAACAGGGUAAUUACGGUUUAAAUGUAUCAUCGAGAAUAAAAUAUAAAUCGCAUGCCUAAAGCAAAAUAAUUGAAAAAAAAAUGAUAAACCACUAAAAGUUGAUCAAAAAUUUAAAAAAAAAAUCUGGAGGCAAGUUUUUUAACUUUCCAAAUAAUAAAUGACAAACAACAAGAAUUGGAAGAAUAAAUUUUUUUUAACCCA